UACGUAGGGUGCGAGCGUUGUCCGGAAUUAUUGGGCGUAAAGGGCUCGUAGGCGGUCUGUUGCGUCGGCUGUGAAAACCCGAGGCUCAACCUCGGGCCUGCAGCCGAUACGGGCAGACUAGAGUUCGGCAGGGGAGACUGGAAUUCCUGGUGUAGCGGUGAAAUGCGCAGAUAUCAGGAGGAACACCGGUGGCGAAGGCGGGUCUCUGGGCCGAUACUGACGCUGAGGCGCGAAGGCCAGGGGAGCAAACGGG
rnacentral:rRNA from 1 species